rnacentral:lncRNA from 1 species
UAUUCCCGUGGUUGUGCGUGUGGUUGUGCGUGUGUGUGUGUGUGUGUGUGUGUGUGUGUGUGUGUGGUUGUGCGUGUGGUUGUGCGUGUGUGUGGUUGUAAGUCUGUCUGACGUCCAUCCCUCAGAAGAGGAAAUGUGUGAUGAUCAGAGACGACGCGGAAGAACGAGAGAGAGAGAGAGAGAGAGAGGGGGACGAAUCUUGUUGGGUCAUAUUCUGUUUCUGGCUGAGUCUGAGGGUUAAUUAUGAGUGAACGCCUGAUCAUAUUAUCUUGCCUCCUAGCAGUUCUGGGUGGUGUGGAGUCUGACAUCAUCACUGUAAGAGAGGGACAAGAUGCCAAAAUCACUUGUUCUCAUACACUUGCAGAUGGCAACAUCAAAUACUUCUGCAAAGACCCGUGUUAUACAAGGACAGAUACCCUUGUCAAAUCUGAUGAUCAGUCUCCUCCAAAAAGAUUCUCUCUGGUUGAUCGUGGAAAUGGAGAGUUCACCGUCACCAUCUUUAAAGUGAGAUUGACAGACUCUGGGAAAUACUACUGUGGAGUGGAACGCUCCAUACUCAACACAUUCAAAGCAAUCACUUUACAGGUGAUCACUGCCAAAUCCACACGGCCUGAACACACGUCUCUCAGACCUCCUGAGCACAGAGAGGAAGAUGGAGCAGGUGGUGUUGUAUACAUAUGUGCCGGGCUCGCUGCGGUGGUGUUUCUGUUAGUGCUCAGUCUGUUCAUGCUCUACACACAGAGGACCAGAGGCAGGAAGUCAUUGGAUCCCCCUGCUGGACACAGACCUAACACUGACUCAGGAAAUACUCAACAGGGUCAGUGUGAUUACUCUGACAUCACUUUCAAUCCUCACGUCUCCACCUCCAGCCCCGCCCCACCCAGCACAGACCCCUCCACCAUCUACGCCAACGUUCAACUGCCGUCCAAUCAGAAUCCAGACUCUCUCCAGUACGCCACCGUGAGAUUCACUGAUCCGCCAGCAGGGGGAGACAAAGGACAAAGCCCCCCGGGGAUAGGGAGAGAGAGAUCAGUCUUAUACUCCAGCAUCAACCUCUAGAGAGAAAGCCCACUUCAUUUAUAGUGCAAGGGCAUACACAUACAAGGGCUUGAAUUUAGGUUUAAGGAGGAAAAGACAAAGAAAGUUAGGGGCUGAGCCUCAGGGAGUCUAAAAGAAGGUUUGAUUUUUUAUUUUAUAUUUUGUUUUCUGUUUCUUACAUCUGCCCAUACGCUUCUGUCAUUAUAUAUAUAUAAUUAAUAUAAUAUUUAAUUAUAUUAUUAUUACAUUAUUACAUUUUAUUAUUAUUUCACUGUUAAGUCCACAUUACAGUCAUUUUCUGUUCGUAUUGCACUGUUCCUGUAGCUCAGUUUGUUACCAGUUAAUUACUUAUUAAUGUAUUAAUUUAUAUCUGCCCAAUGUAUCUAUUUAAAAACAUCCUCUGAGAAUGUAUCUGUUAUCCCUGUAGCAUGCCAUUUAACUAUUGUGUAUUUACUCAUCUUGCUGUGGGUAGUUUACAGUGAUUUCAAAUCAGAAUCAGAAUCAGAAUUGUAUUGCCAAUGAAUGAAUGUCAUGUAAUUGCAAUGGAAGGAUGAAGCAAGACCAAUCCACUCCUACACAUUUCAGUAGUUCUCAUCCUGUCAUGUGAUUCUUCUUGAAGCUUUUUGGCUCAUGAAAGAGAGCUGGUGUUGUAGCCGUUUCGCACAUUUUUGUCCAGAUAUAAGUUUGCAUUGGCCCUGGGUUACUUUGACUGUGUUAUAUGAUUAUAUUGUUUCUGUGUUUGCAUAUUGUUUCUUUAGCUGCAUAUUGGACUACCAUUUAAUUGAACUUUAGGAUUGUUAAUUUGUCACCUGAACCGCCCAUUAAUUAUUGUCACCUGGACGGCUCAUCAGUAGAUUUCACCUGGACGGAUUAUUAGAAGUGUCACCUGGAUAGCUCAUUAGGAGAUGACUGGAUAGCAAAAUGUUGGGUCUAGAGGCGUGUAAAAGAUACAGUUUUUUGACCACUUUUCGAUACUAGUUUAGCCUUUUUAGUUUACUGUAGUUAACUUUGCUUUAUUGUUUGAAUUUACUACUCGUUUAUGUUCACCUUUUUGGAGCCAAAAUAAAUGGAUUAUUCUUUCAACUUUUGGAGUAUCG